rnacentral:rRNA from 1 species
CUUGAACGCUGGCGGCAGGCCUAACACAUGCAAGUCGAACGAGUGGCGGACGGGUGAGUAAUGUUUGGGAAACUGCCUGAUGGAGGGGGAAAACUACUGGAAAAGGUAGCUAAUACCGCAUACCAUCGGAUGUCCCCAGAUGGGAUUAGCUAGUCGGUGGGGUAAAGGCUCACAUAGGCGACGAUCCCUAGCUGGUCUGAGAGGAUGACCAGCGAAACGGGAACUGAUACACGGUCCAGACUCCUACAGGAGGCAGCAGUGGGGAAUAUGGCACAAUGGGCGCAAGCCUGCUGCAGCCAUGCCGAGUGUAUGAAGAAGGCCUGCGGGUUGUAAAGUACUUUCAGCGAGGAAGCGUUACCCGCAGAAUAAGCACCGGCUAAAUCCGUACCAGCAGCCGCAGUAAUUC